rnacentral:rRNA from 1 species
GAUGAACGCUGGCGGCGUGCCUAAUACAUGCAAGUCGAGCGAACGGACGAGAAGCUUGCUUCUCUGAUGUUAGCGGCGGACGGGUGAGUAACACGUGGAUAACCUACCUACAAGACUGGGAUAACUUCGGGAAACCGUAGCUAAUACCGGAUAAUAUUUUGAACCGCAUGGUUCAAAAGUGAAAGACGGUCUUGCUGUCACUUAUAGAUGGAUCCGCGCUGCAUUAGCUAGUUGGUAAGGUAACGGCUUACCAAGGCAACGAUGCAUAGCCGACCUGAGAGGUGAUCGGCCACACUGGAACUGAGACACGGUCCAGACUCCUACGGGAGGCAGCAGUAGGGAAUCUUCCGCAAUGGGCGAAAGCCUGACGGAGCAACGCCGCGUGAGUGAUGAAGGUCUUCGGAUCGUAAAACUCUGUUAUUAGGGAAGAACAUAUGUGUAAGUAACUGUGCACAUCUUGACGGUACCUAAUCAGAAAGCCACGGCUAACUACGUG